AUUGAACGCUGGCGGCAGGCCUAACACAUGCAAGUCGAACGGUAACAGGAAGAAGCUUGCUUCUUUGCUGACGAGUGGCGGACGGGUGAGUAAUGUCUGGGAAACUGCCUGAUGGAGGGGGAUAACUACUGGAAACGGUAGCUAAUACCGCAUAACGUCGCAAGACCAAAAAGGGGGACCUUCGGGCCUCUUGCCAUCGGAUGUGCCCAGAUGGGAUUAGCUAGUAGGUGGGGUAACGGCUCACCUAGGCGACGAUCCCUAGCUGGUCUGAGAGGAUGACCAGCCACAAUGGAACUGAGACACGGUCCAGACUCCUACGGGAGGCAGCAGUGGGGAAUAUUGGACAAUGGGCGCAAGCCUGAUGCAGCCAUGCCGCGUGUAUGAAGAAGGCCUUCGGGUUGUAAAGUACUUUCAGCGGGGAGGAAGGGAGGAAAGUUAAUACCUUUGCUCAUUGACGUUACCCGCAGAAGAAGCACCGGCUAACUCCGUG
rnacentral:rRNA from 1 species